GAGCGUAGCUUCCUUGUCGUGUGGCCUCAGUCCUUCGCCGUCCCUCGCCGUCCUUCGCCAUCGCACGCCACCGCACCCCAUCUCUCGAAAUCUGCAGACAUCUUGAUUUUUCCCACGCUGUCUGUCAGGUCUCCGCCGCCACUCGACGCCAGGGCGCCGGGUGAGUCCACAGCAGGGCGCAUGGUCGGCUCCACUCUCACCAUCGGGGGAAACUGAGGCCCCGGGGAAGGCGGCCAGAGAGGUCAGGCCCUGUCCUUGGUGCAGUGUCUCGUCCUCUUUGCCGGAGUGAGCCCCCCAGGAUUCGCGUGUCCUCGGGAAAGACACUGGCAGGCCUUGUGGGCUGUGCUGCACCUCGGACGGCUUCGCACCAGCCAGCGCCCUCUCUCUCCUGCAGCACUCUGAUCUGCACCCCCUGAGGGGCUUCCACUGUCCGCGGGGUGAGAAUGCCCCUGGGAGUGUCACAUGACUGCCGCCCCAUGUGUGUGAGAGGCGUCCUCUGGGAGAGCAUGGAUCCUGAGGUCCCAGGAUUGUCAGCUGACCUCUGUCCUGUGUGCCCAGUGGCCCCAGGUGACGUGUCUUCAAGAAGAGGCUGAGCUGCGGUGCUUGUAAGGUCUCAGCCUUAGAUCCAAGGACAGUCCAAGGAAGUCCUAAGACCAUGGAGUUGGUGAUCUGGGAUCUGGGUUUGCUGAUAUUUCUCACCGUGGUGAGUUGAUGCCAAGAGCCAGAACCCACAGCCAGAGGCUCAGCUGGUCCGUGUUUAUGCAGAUGGGAACCUCAAAUCACUGGUCUCACUUGUCCUUUGUUUCAGAAUCUCUUGGUGGUGUUUGUGGGCACGAGAGGGGCAGAGAAUGGAGAGUGAGGCUACCACAUGAAGCGUCACCAGAGCUGCUCCCUGCUGCCUGCUCAGAGCACCCCGGAUCCACUGUUCAAUCUGCACAAGAUUCGGGGUCCAGACAUGGGAGACUUCAGCUGCCUCAGAGGACCGUGGACAGGGAAGGCCAGCCUCGCAUCCCUCUGUCCAUGCCUGGAAUGACUUUAAUAACCAAGAGUUUUAUUUUUGAAUUUGUAGCUGUCGUUCACUUUUUACCCACCCAUUCAAUAAACCUUACAGAAUUGC
rnacentral:lncRNA from 1 species